rnacentral:rRNA from 1 species
UACGUAGGGUGCAAGCGUUAAUCGGAAUUACUGGGCGUAAAGCGUGCGCAGGCGGUUUUGUAAGUCUGACGUGAAAUCCCCGGGCUCAACCUGGGAAUUGCGUUGGAGACUGCAAGGCUGGAGUCUGGCAGAGGGGGGUAGAAUUCCACGUGUAGCAGUGAAAUGCGUAGAGAUGUGGAGGAACACCGAUGGCGCAAGGGCAGCCCC